CAGAUGGGAAAACUAAAGCACAGUUCAUCCAGUCCAACCAGCUGUACACUCCUCCCCUAAAGAUUACAAAAGCCUGAGGACAAAGUCUACAUCUCAUUUCUUUCAUAAUCUCAAGAAAUCUGACAUAUUGUUCUGUACACAGUGAACACUCAAUAAAAUUCACAGCCUGGUUGAUGAGGCUUGGGCAGGGAA